AGUUGUUUGUUGUGUGGUUGUAGAAGUUGUUGACGUUGGUUUUCUUCUCAACAACUUUAUUACUUGAUCUAUAGAUGUAAUAGGGAAUACCAUUAUCUUGAUUUUGCGAAGAGGUGGAUAUAUCUCAGGAUUUCUUUUUGUUUUAAAAGUCCAACGUUGUCGCAUAUCAGUCUUGACCUUCAGUAAUGUAGACAUGAGGGAACCUGGAGGAAUGGAGAUGACUGGAGGCUGCUUGUCUGAAUUAGUUUUAUCCACACACAUUGUGAAUGGGAGAUUUGAAUAUUUUUUCUUGUUUAAACAUGUAGAGGUCCCUGUAGAUGAGCGCUGUGGGACCUGAGGGGGCAGCAAGAGAGAGAUAUAAUGGCAAUGAUGUACUUGAUAGAAAUCGGUCAUUUCAGUACAUAUUCAUACUGUCGUUAGACAAUAUCACAUGUUCUUCAAUUGAUGAUGAGCUUAGUGCAUUUUUGUUAGUAUCAGGGAGAUUGAAGUGGUUGACAAAAAGCUUUCCGAGAUCAAAUUUACUUAUUGAACAAGAAACAAAUAAUUAGAAAUAAGAAUACAUUUAGACUGCAUAUUACAUGAUCACUAUGGAUGGGUUUCAUAAAAUUAUGGUUUUUCUUCUAACAAAAUUACAGGUACAUUUAUCCACAUUCCGCCUUCACUCUAUGUCUGAGUGAAUUAACAUAAUGAUAGAAUUUUAGAAAACGUGUGUAGAAAAUAGUAUGACUGCACUCUUGGCAUCAUUACAGUAUUAUUGAAAAACAGAUAUUCCAAUAAACCUUUAGAUUCAAGUCGGGCAGGGACUGUUAAUAUUUGCUCCUUUAUAUUCAAUUGUGAAAAAUUACUCUGUACUCACAUUACGAAGAGCCAGUGCACUCAGGGUUGGGACAGUUAAGAUGAUGAAGCACAAGUUCAUGUUCUCUGCACAUCGGGCAUUCGUUUGAAAAUGUCAACCAGUGUUCUUUUAUAUGUCAGAACCAGAGAGGCAGAGUGUCUUUCUUUUAUUGAGCUGUAACCAGGCUGUUUUUUUUUUCAACUCCUGUGGUUAAGAUGAGUGUUGACACAAUAUGGCAAUGCAGAAGUAACAUUGAAGCCACAUUUAUUCCAGCAUUAAAUGUCAUGCAGAGUGUAAUCUGUAGAACAGUGUCUGAAACGUCACCAUCGUAGCAAAUGCAAAAUCUUGAGUUAUUCAUCCACUCACAUGUGAAAAUAAUGUACGUUUGUCACAUUUAAAAUAGAGGUUUCAGUUUAUUUAUAUCAGCACCUUGAUACAUACGGCAUUUGAUUAUAUCACCAAACACAGGUUUUGGGAUAUAUGUCUAUGCAACAUAUUGAUUCUUUCAUCAUAAUUAAAAACGUAUGGCUCGUAUUUCAGUUUUAGUCACAGUAUAUAUCUGACAUAGGAUAAACAUGAGGCAGUACAAACAACACAUUUCUUAUGACUCACCAUGUGUGGUGAGUCAUUCAAAUGUGGUGGGUAUACUGGUUAAUACAAAACAUUACAACUGUGCUACAUGUUAUCACCUCUGGCAGGUCCAGGCAAAGAGCUGUUUUUCUCUAGUGGGUAAGGCUCAGGUGGGGCAACAUUGGUGGUCUCCAUUGUGGGAGACUCCGGCGAGAAUGUGCCUGCUGGUUGAGGAGGAGUGGCGCCUGUUCCAAGGAACUCUAAGCCUGGUUCAUAAGUCUGUGGCUCCAAGGUUGCUUCAGCAGGUCCUGUGGUUGUGUUGGUGACCACUGGAUGAGUGGUGUUGGGGGUGCUCUCCGCCAUGGGUGCUGGCUCGACAGGUAGAAGGGGGGCGUCAGCCGUGGCAACUUCCUCCGAGGAAGACUCAUUAGAUUCCAGAGAUUCCAGGCUGAGUUGAAGGAGAGAUCUGAGCUGCUGAGGGUCCAAGCCGGCCUGUUGCACAAGGACGC
ensembl:lncRNA